GCUUCCGUAGCUCAGUUGGUUAGAGCUUCGUACUAAUACUUCACCCCUGGGCUAAGUCUUGGUAAUGCGAAGGUCGCAGGUUCAAGCCCUGCCGGGAGCA
rnacentral:tRNA from 1 species